GACGAACGCUGGCGGCGUGCCUAAUACAUGCAAGUAGAACGCUGAAGAGAGGAGCUUGCUCUUCUUGGAUGAGUUGCGAACGGGUGAGUAACGCGUAGGUAACCUGCCUUGUAGCGGGGGAUAACUAUUGGAAACGAUAGCUAAUACCGCAUAACAAUGGAUGACCCAUGUCAUUUAUUUGAAAGGGGCAAAUGCUCCACUACAAGAUGGACCUGCGUUGUAUUAGCUAGUAGGUGAGGUAACGGCUCACCUAGGCGACGAUACAUAGCCGACCUGAGAGGGUGAUCGGCCAAACUGGUACUGAGACACGGCCCAGACUCCUACGGGAGGCAGCAGUAGGGAAUCUUCGGCAAUGGGGGCAACCCUGACCGAGCAACGCCGCGUGAGUGACGAAGGUUUUCGGAUCGUAAAGCUCUGUUGUAAGUCAAGAACGAGUGUGAGAGUGGAAAGUUCACACUGUGACGGUAGCUUACCAGAAAGGGACGGCUAACUACGUG
rnacentral:rRNA from 1 species